rnacentral:rRNA from 1 species
GGCGGACGGGUGAGUAAUGCUUGGGAAUAUGCCUUAUGGUGGGGGACAACAGUUGGAAACGACUGCUAAUACCGCAUGAUGUCUUCGGACCAAAGUGGGGGACCUUCGGGCCUCACGCCAUAAGAUUAGCCCAAGUGGGAUUAGCUAGUUGGUGAGGUAAUGGCUCACCAAGGCGACGAUCCCUAGCUGGUUUGAGAGGAUGAUCAGCCACACUGGGGCUGAGACACGGCCCAGACUCCUACGGGAGGCAGCAGUGGGGAAUAUUGCACAAUGGGCGCAAGCCUGAUGCAGCCAUGCCGCGUGUGUGAAGAAGGCCUUCGGGUUGUAAAGCACUUUCAGUAAGGAGGAAAGGUUAGUCACUAAUAUUGGCUAGCUGUGACGUUACUUACAGAAGAAGCACCGGCUAACUCCGUGCCAGCAGCCGCGGUAAUACGGAGGGUGCGAGCGUUAAUCGGAAUUACUGGGCGUAAAGCGUAC